rnacentral:rRNA from 1 species
UCGAUUUCAGUGCGAAUCGCCCCAAAGCGUUUCGCGUGAAGCCGCGAGAAGCGCGUGCGCGCGCGCGUUUUUACGAGCGCGCGCGCGACAAACACGCGCGCGUGGAUCAGAGUGCCAAGUGGGCCAUUUUUGGUAAGCAGAACUGGCGCUGUGGGAUGAACCAAACGUCGAGUUAAAGCGCCUAAAUCGACGCUUAUGGGAUACCAUGAAAGGCGUUGGUAACUUAAGACAGCAGGACGGUGGCCAUGGAAGUCGGAAUCCGCCAAGGAGUGUGUAACAACUCACCUGCCGAAGUUACUAGCCCUGAAAAUGGAUGGCGCUGAAGCGUCGUGCUUAUACUCGACCGUCAGCGGCACGUGCGACGACGCGGUAAUUAUUUUUUUUUGGUGACCGCCGCGUCGUCAUGAAGCCCUGACGAGUAGGAGGGUCGCGGCGGUGAGCGCAGAAGGGCUGGCCGCGAGGCCGUCUGGAGCCGCCGUCGGUGCAGAUCUUGGUGGUAGUAGCAAAUACUCCAGCGAGGCCCUGGAGGACUGACGUGGAGAAGGGUUUCGUGUGAACAGCCGUUGCACACGAGUCAGUCGAUCCUAAGCCCUAGGCGAAAGCCGAUGUCGAUGUCGGUGUAGUUUAACGAGAAACAAACAAACAAACAAACAAACGAACACACUAACAWWAUAUCUUUCGUUCGUUCGCUUUAUAUAUAUAUAUAUCAUGCGAUUUUAUGUAUCGAACGAAUAAAACGAAUGAAUUAUAUKAUGUWGUUGCUGUCGUUGUUGUUGUUGUUGUUGUUGUUGUUGUAACACGACGAACACACCCGUCGGGCGAAAGGGAAUCCGGUUCCUAUUCCGGAACCUGGCAGCGGAACCGUCAAAAAGUCGGGCCCUCGCAAGAGAGUUCGUCGGGGUAACCCAAAAGGACCCGGAGACGCCGUCGGGAGAUCCGGGAAGAGUUUUCUUUUCUGCAUGAGCGUUCGAGUUCCAUGGAAUCCUCUAGCAGGGAGAUAUGGUUUGGAACGCGAAGAGCACCGCAGUUGCCGCGGUGUCCGGAUCUUCCCCUCGGACCUUGAAAAUCCGGGAGAGGGCCACGUGGAGGCGUCGCGCCAGUUCGUACCCAUAUCCGCAGCAGGUCUCCAA